ACUAGAGGACAACAGUUGGAAACGACUGCUAAUACUCUAUACUCCUCUUUAACAUAAGUUAGAUAGGGAAAGUUUUUCGGUGUAGGAUGAGGCUAUAUUGUAUCAGCUAGUUGGUGAGGUAAUGGCUCACCAAGGCUAUGACGCAUAACUGGUCUGAGAGGAUGAUCAGUCACACUGGAACUGAGACACGGUCCAGACUCCUACGGGAGGCAGCAGUAGGGAAUAUUGCUCAAUGGGGGAAACCCUGAAGCAGCAACGCCGCGUGGAGGAUGACACUUUUCGGAGCGUAAACUCCUUUUGUUAGGGAAGAACAAUGACGGUACCUAACGAAUAAGCACCGGCUAACUCCGUGCCAGCAGCCGCGGUAAUACGGAGGGUGCAAGCGUUACUCGGAAUCACUGGGCGUAAAGGACGCGUAGGCGGAUUAUCAAGUCUCUUGUGAAAUCCUAUGGCUUAACCAUAGAACUGCUUGGGAAACUGAUAAUCUAGAGUGAGGGAGAGGCAGAUGGAAUUGGUGGUGUAGGGGUAAAAUCCGUAGAGAUCACCAGGAAUACCCAUUGCGAAGGCGAUCUGCUGGAACUCAACUGACGCUAAUGCGUGAAAGCGUGGGGAGCAAACAGGAUUAGAUACCCUGGUAGUCCACGCCCUAAACGAUGUAUACUAGUUGUUGCUAAGCUAGUCUUGGCAGUAAUGCACCUAACGGAUUAAGUAUACCGCCUGGGGAGUACGGUCGCAAGAUUAAAACUCAAAGGAAUAGACGGGGACCCGCACAAGCGGUGGAGCAUGUGGUUUAAUUCGAAGAUACGCGAAGAACCUUACCCGGACUUGAUAUCUAACAAAUCAUCUAGAGAUAGAAGAGUGUCUGCUCGCAGAAAUGUUAAGACAGGUGCUGCACGGCUGUCGUCAGCUCGUGUCGUGAGAUGUUGGGUUAAGUCCCGCAACGAGCGCAACCCACGUCAUUAGUUGCUAACAGUUCGGCUGAGCACUCUAAUG
rnacentral:rRNA from 1 species